rnacentral:rRNA from 1 species
UACGGGGGGGGGCAAGCGUUGUUCGGAAUUACUGGGCGUAAAGGGCUCGUAGGCGGCCAACUAAGUCAGACGUGAAAUCCCCCAGGCUCAACCUGGGAACUGCGUCUGAUACUGGAUGGCUUGAAUUCGGGAGAGGGAUGCAGAAUUCCAGGUGUAGCGGUGAAAUGCGUAGAUAUCUGGAGGAACACCGGUGGCGAAGGCGGGUCUCUGGGCCGAUACUGACGCUGAGGAGCGAAAGCGUGGGGAGCAAACAGG